CCGAGCCAGUUCUGCGCUACCUGCCGUUCGUUUGUUCAUUCGUUUGAGAAAGACAGACAGAGAGAGAGAGAGAGAGAGAGAGAGAGAGAGAGAGAGAGAGAGAGAAAGACAGUGAGAGAGACUUAUCGAAACGACGAGACCAUUUUUCCUCCCUUUGUAUCGGAUCCUUCUCGAUCUUUUUCUCAACGUGGACGGUCCGUGGACGGUCAACGUUUAAUCUCGAAAACAAUGGAUCGUCUUUCAAGAACAUACAAUCUAUUCAAGAUCGAAGAGGUCUUCUUCUUCUUUGCCAAAACGCUGUGUCUCGAAUAUCAUUAGCUGAGCAUGAAGGCCAGGAAGAAGGGUGAAAGGGGAGGUGUUGGAGGUGGUGCGUUGGAAAUGAAAGAGGAGAAGAGAGGAGAGAGGAGAACCGACAGUGGCUCCUCAAACUACUCUUCUCACUCUGUACUCGCGCACUCGUCGACUCGUUGGGACAUAAAGAGACGCCUUGUCCGUGUUUCGGCUGGCGCGAUAGCGCGUUAGACGACGUCUGCACGGUAACAUAGCAGGUAACAGACGGUGGAAGGACAUUCUUCGUCUAGGACUAGACACCGUUAGAUCUUCCAGACGGUUGGCACGCCGGAAAGAGAGAGAGAGAGAGGAGGAGGAGGAGGGAGAAAGAGGGAGAGAGAAAGCGGGAAAGAAUAAACGACCUUGGUUGCUCGAUCGAAGAGGACUAACUUUAUCUGUCGAUUUUUAUCAACAAAUAAUUUAUUUAUUACUCGUAGAAUGCAUAAUUCUUUUCUUUUUUUUUUUUUUGUUUUAACUUACGUUUGUAUCUACAACGUAUUAUAAUUUCAUAAGAGAUAUAUAUUCCGAUUAUCAUUUUCAUAUAUUUAUAAGAAGAACACAUUGGCUUUUUAUUCAAACAUACAUACAUACAUAUAUAUACACACAUACACACACACACACACGAAUAUAUACUAUACCAGCAAAGUAAUAAACGUCGAGAAGUAUCGCGAUAAAAGGCGCGCGCUCACGCAGCGGGCUGCUAUUAGAAAGAGUCUCGUCGUCGAUGUUGCCAGAAGGCCUUAAUUCGCCUGCAAAUUAUGUACGUCGACGGAGAAACGUUGGCGACGCAUUAAAAUCAUUUUAACGACGCGCUCCUUUUCUACAUCUUUUGUUCGGAGCAGCCAAGGUCGACGACAUAAGCGCGUGUGCGCUCGUACACUCAACACUUGCACGAUUAAACAUUCGCACGUAUACGAGCUCAUAGCGAUAGAGAAAAGAAAGAAAGAGAUAGAGAGAGAGAGAAAGAGAGUAAAGGAACGAAGAAAGGAGUCCGAGCAUUAUUUCGUAAUUCGGAUUAUACUUUGAGACCGUUAGGAGUUACAGACGGUCAAAGCACGGCAACGAAGUCGUCGCUGAAAGAUAGAAGAAGGAGAAGGAGAAAGAAGAUUCUAGCAACCUUGACUUUUCAUUCCUAACGCUCUUACAACACGCGUUUGAAUCUUCGAGGCUUUUUAUUAUUCCAAACGGAUUGCGCAACGCGACGUCCUUUCGAUUUUGGCGCGCCAAGAAAAAACGAGUCGCGUCGACUCGCUCCACCGGAAGUCUAUCUAUCGAAACGAGUUUUUGUUUUUCUUUCUUUCUUUCUUUCUUUGUUUCUUUAUUUAUUUCUUUUUUUCUUUCUUUCUUUUUUUUUGUAUUUUGUUUUCUUUUGUUUCGUUUCGAAUUUCUUUGUUGUUUAUAUCUUCUUCUUUUUUAUAACGCUCAAAGAAAUGAACAAAAUUAAAUUACUUAACUCAUAGACGAUGUCAUUCUGAACUUACUUUUAUCGUAAUAUCGUAAAUUAUGAAAAAAAGAAAAUAAAAGGAGAAAAGAAAAAUUAGAAAUAAAUUCUUUUCUAUUUCUUCGACUUUAAUUCAUUCGAUGAAAAUAGGAAAGCACGUGCAUUCAAUCAAGAGAAUUAUCGAAAGUCACGUAAUCGCGUUAGAAUUAUUUUCCCUUUUUUUAAAUACGCAUGUAUGUACAUAUUAUACUCUCAUAUCGGGGGAUAAAUUUCUUUUCUUUUUUUUUCUUUCCUUUUGAAAACUACUCGACAAGCCUUGCAUUGUUGCUAUAGCUAGUUUCACGCUAUAACGAUUCUUCGACGAAUUCGCCGAAACGCACUUCGACCAGAUGCAUAUAUAAAUGCAGCAAUUACGCUACGAGCGCAACGUCUAGACGGAUUAAAGUAAACAGGAUGUCUCGUUCCACUCGCAGUGAGAGCCCCUUCCUAGACGAAACGCUGACACGUUCGUCGUACCGAUCCAUAUGUAUAUGCGCCAAGCUUUAUCGCUUUGCGGUUACGUUAUCGUCUCGUUCGACGGGAGAGAAGAGAACGUACAAAAAUUCAUCAUGACCUUUUCGUCAAAUAGAAAUUAAAAAAAGAUCGGCAAGAAUUUGAGGAAUGAGAAAUAACGGGGAAAUA